GUGCACCAGUCGAGAAACCUCCGCAAUACACGAAAGUGUGACGGGGCCAUCCCGAGUGCCGUCCGCUGAGGACGGCUUUUCCCCAGUGUACAUAGCUGGGGGAAUAAGGAGAGGGCAAGCCUGGUGUCAGCCGCCGCGGUAAUACCCAGCUCGUCCGAGUGGUGGGGACGCUUAUUGGGCCCUAAAGCAUCCGGUAGCCGGCUGGGCAAGUCC
rnacentral:rRNA from 1 species